rnacentral:tRNA from 1 species
GGGAGCAUAGCUCAGCUGGUUCAGAGCAGCUGCCUUACAAGCAGCGGGUCCGCGGUUCGAAUCCGUGUGCUCCCACAA